rnacentral:rRNA from 1 species
AUACGGAGGGUGCGAGCGUUAAUCGGAAUUACUGGGCGUAAAGCGUGCGUAGGUGGUUUGUUAAGUCAGAUGUGAAAGCCCCGGGCUCAACCUGGGAACUGCAUUUGAAACUGGCAUACUAGAAUAUAGGAGAGGAAAGUGGAAUUUCAGGUGUAGCGGUGAAAUGCGUAGAUAUCUGAAGGAACAUCAAUGGCGAAGGCAGCUUUCUGGACUAAUACUGACACUGAGGUACGAAAGCGUGGGUAGCAAACAGGAUUAGAAACCCCGGUAGUCC